rnacentral:misc_RNA from 1 species
UGAACCUUGGCCAAAUGAGAGGGAGAAGUCAGUGGAUGUAAAUUCAAGUAAUGCAGAACACAGCACCCUGUUAGUAGAUUUGCAGGUGACAGGUCCAUUUUCGAUAAAUACUGUUCCUGAGCAAAGUAGGAGGAAGGGGUUUACUGCUAGUGGACCAACUUCAAAUGGAAAGUGUGCAAUUCUGGGCCUUUUGGCCAAUGGAGCUUCAUUUAGUGGCCCCCUCGCUGCCGAAGGUAAGCCUGGCCCAAAAAAAAGAAAGAGAA